CUAAAUGUAACAAUAAGUCACAUUGAAUUUUAACAAUUGAACUUCGUAACGCGAAGUAUACAAACGCAAAAUAAUGCUUUUAUUAGACACAAUAGCUAAUGCCAGUACCGUACGUACUUUUUAUAAUCAAACAUUCAGCAUUCGCGUUGACAGUCAAAUAAGUCCAUGCAGAUGAACAAAUAACACGAAGGGAAAUAAAAGGUAAUCAUGCAGCAGCCAUGAUAGAGAUGAUAAAUUAGCACGUACUAUAUCGGAAGACCUGCAAGGACUUAGGAGAUGUCGGUGCAAAUAGGAAGACAGCGUUAAAGAGGAUCGUAAAUAAAUACAGCUUGGUUCUUUGUUAGUGUUGUCUGGCUGCAAGAACAAGCGUAUUUAUGUAUGUGCUUGCAAAUAUAUUUGUAAGAGAAGACAUAAAAAGUAAUUAACUGAAUACAAAAUAGUA